rnacentral:rRNA from 1 species
GAUGAACGCUGGCGGCGUGCUUAACACAUGCAAGUCGAACGGGAAACCUUUUAUUGAAGCUUCGGCAGAUUUAGCUGGUUUCUAGUGGCGGACGGGUGAGUAACGCGUGGGUAACCUGCCUUAUACAGGGGGAUAACAGUCAGAAAUGGCUGCUAAUACCGCAUAAGCGCACAGAGCUGCAUGGCUCAGUGUGAAAAAGUCCGGUGGGAUAGGAUGGAUCCGCGUUGGAUUAGCUGGUUGGUGUGGGAACGGCGCACCAAGGCGACGAUCCAUAGCCGGCCUGAGAGAGUGAACGGCCACAUUGAGGCGGAGACACGGCCCAGACUCCUACGGGAGGCAGGAGUGGGGAAUAUUGCACAAUGGGGGAAACCCUGAUGCAGCGACGCCGCGAGAAGGAAGAAGUAGCUCAGUAUGUAAACUUCUAUCAGCAGGGGAUAUAAUGACGGUACCUGACGAAGAAGCCCCGGCUAACUACGUG